GACGAACGCUGGCGGCGUGCCUAAUACAUGCAAGUCGAGCGAAGUUUUUCUGGUGCUUGCCCUAGAAAAACUUAGCGGCGAACGGGUGAGUAACACGUAAAGAACCUGCCUCAUAGACUGGGACAACUAUUGGAAACGAUAGCUAAUACCGGAUAACAGUAUUUCUCGCAUGAGAGAUAUUUAAAAGUUGGUUAUGCUAACACUAUGAGAUGGCUUUGCGGUGCAUUAGCUAGUUGGUGGGGUAAAGGCCCACCAAGGCGACGAUGCAUAGCCGACCUGAGGGGGGGAAGGGCCAAACUGGGACGGAGACACGGCCCAGACUCCUAGGGGAGGCAGCAGUAGGGAAUUUUCCGAAAUGGGGGAAAGCCUGAGGGGGAAACGCCGGGGGAGUGAAGAAGGAUUUCGGUUCGGAAAGCUCUUUUGUGAGGGAAAAAGGGAUAUGUAGAAACUAUACAUGUAAGAGACGGUACCUAACAAAAAAGCCACGGCUAACUACGU
rnacentral:rRNA from 1 species